CUGCAGUGAGUAUCACAUCAUCAAUAACUCGGCGUGGAACCGGCUCAGGACUGAUGAACCGGACAGACCUCCUCUGGUUCAUUAAAGUGUAGAAGUCCUUGGAUCUCUGCUGCAUCGUCUCCUCUGGGUAGCGAGGAGGUCCUGAUCUACCCACGGCCUAAAGUCUCCUUUUGUGGCUCCUUUGUUUUUUUCUGUCGAUGUGGCCUCCGAUCCCCAAGAUUGCACCAGCAUGAAGCCCAAAACCAAACACAAGAUCAGCGCCAGGACAGGGGUGAGGACGGACAGGAGAACCAUGCCUGCCUGAGUGAAGCUCAAGAGGACUUCGGCUGACUGCAGAAGAAGGACUGCUGCGGUGAUCUGGAGCGGAUCUUUAUGCUGAGUCAGCGCCUGAGUCGGCCAUCAGAGGAAAAAAAAUAAGAAAAGCAAAAAGAGGUCACACUGAAGUUAACUAUGUUGUUGUGACAAAGUCCUGCAGUGGAGUUAAUAUUCUACUUUUUCCUAGAAGAGAUGGCAUCAGAACUUUCACAGCGGAAGAAAAAGAUCUUAUGGUAAACUUAAUGAGUGUAAUAAAAAAGAUAAACACAAAAA